AACAGGAUUAGAUACCCUGGUAGUCCACGCUGUAAACGGUGGGUACUAGGUGUGGGGUCCAUUCCACGGGUUCCGUGCCGUAGCUAACGCUUUAAGUACCCCGCCUGGGGAGUACGGCCGCAAGGCUAAAACUCAAAGGAAUUGACGGGGCCCCGCACAAGCGGCGGAGCAUGCGGAUUAAUUCGAUGCAACGCGUAGAACCUUACCUGGGUUUGACAUGGAUCGGGAGUGCUCAGAGAUGGGUGUGCCUCUUUUGGGGUCGGUUCACAGGUGGUGCAUGGCUGUCGUCAGCUCGUGUCGUGAGAUGUUGGGUUAAGUCCCGCAACGAGCGCAACCCUUGUUCACUGUUGCCAGCACGUUAUGGUGGGGACUCAGUGGAGACCGCCGGGGUCAACUCGGAGGAAGGUGGGGAUGACGUCAAGUCAUCAUGCCCCUUAUGUCCAGGGCUUCACGCAUGCUACAAUGGCUGGUACAGAGAGUGGCGAGCCUGUGAGGGUGAGCGAAUCUCGGAAAGCCGGUCUCAGUUCGGAUUGGGGUCCGCAACUCGACCUCAUGAAGUCGGAGUCGCUAGUAAUCGCAGAUCAGCAACGCUGCGGUGAAUACGUUCCCGGGGCUUGUACACACCGCCCGUCAAGUCAUGAAAGUUGGUAACACCCGAAGCCGGUGGCCUAACCGUUGUGGGGGAGCCGUCGAAGGUGGGACUGGUGAUUAGGACUAAGUCGUAACAAGGUAACC
rnacentral:rRNA from 1 species